rnacentral:rRNA from 1 species
UACGUAGGGCGCAAGCGUUAUCCGGAAUUAUUGGGCGUAAAGAGCUCGUAGGCGGUUUGUCGCGUCUGCCGUGAAAGUCCGGGGCUCAACUCCGGAUCUGCGGUGGGUACGGGCAGGACUAGAGUGAUGUAGGGGAGACUGGAAUUCCUGGUGUAGCGGUGAAAUGCGCAGAUAUCAGGAGGAACACCGGAUGGCGAAGGCAGGGUCUCUGGGCAUUAACUGACGCUGAGGAGCGAAAGCAUGGGGAGCGAACAGGAUUAGAACUAC